ACCCCUUUUACUUUUUUUUUUUUUUUUUUUUUUUUUUAGGUUGGCUCCAUGCCCAGUGUGGGGCUUGAACUCACGACCCGGGGAUCAAGAGUCACACGCUCUUCCAACUGGGCCACCCAGACCCCCUAGGCAUGUGUGUCUUAAGCAAGUGUUCUCGUGCUUCUGAAGCAGGUUUUCCAUCGGGUCCUUGUGGCUGGCCUCCUGAACCCCAGCGGAGAGAAGCCUGUCCGGCAGGCACCCGUGCGCACUCACCUUACCAGCAGACAGCUGAAGUGUGGAAAGUGAUCACCUUCCAACGACUAUCCCAUAGAGGCAAGGAAAGAAAUACCUGAGGAUUCAUACCAUUCUUUACAUUUGGGCA
rnacentral:lncRNA from 1 species